GACUCAAAGAGGCUUGACAUAAAAGCAAAAGGGUUGGUAGCCUGUCCCUUAUCUAAGGGUCAGAAAGCUAAUCCCUUCUAGGAGAAGCAGGUGCCCCUAGUAUAACAAAUGUCUUCUAUUUAAGGGUUGGUAAGCUUUUCCUUUCAAAUAGAAGGAACAGGAUGCAACCCCCCUCAUGUAUUUGGAUGUGAGCCCUUCAUAAGGACAAAAAAAAAUGUGACCAUUGUGUAAUGUAUGAAUGUGGUGUAUGUGUUAAUUUCUCUGAAAAACAUAGGGCUAAGAUAACAAAAAGCAAUACUUCCAUUUGGUAUUAAGGUAGACCACAAACUUCAGCCAGUUUGGUGUAGUGGUUGGCAAUGGAUUUUCAUUGGGUGACUUUGAGCAAGUCAUCUACUCCCAACCCCAGAAAACUCCCACAGGAAACAACAGUAAGGCACACAACAACAACAACAAACUUGUCAAUAGCUACCCCCAGAUUGUCAACCCAAUAUAUUAAGAAUUUCAGAGGUCCCUUAUUGCUAUUUUGAAAGACCUGGCAAGAGCAAUUCAAUCCCUGGUUUCUUUAAGGCUAGUUGAACAUUCAAACAACUACAUCAUGUUGAUGGAGCCAAGCCUCGUGACUUGAAGGUUGGGUUGCUGCCUGAAAGCUGCCAGGUUCGAAUCCCACCCAGAGAGAGUGCGGAUGAGCUCCCUCUAUCAGCUCCAGCUCCAUGCAGGGACAUGAGAGAAGCCUCCUACAAGGAUGGUAAAACAUGUCCCCUGGGCAACGUCCUUGCAGACGGCCAAUUCUCUCACUCCAGAAGCAACUCCAGUUGCUCCUGAUACACAAAAAAUCAUGUUGAUGUUAAUUCCUGAGCAGUACUGUAGAUGACACUCAUUUAUUGGCUUGCCAUAAGUGGCAGCCUGCUUGAUGGCAAAUAACAAAAAUAUUCCAGGAGGAUCCCAUUCUUAAUGCCUUUUAACAAUGCAACAUCCCAGGCCUUCUGGGAAAAUGUAACAUCUGCUGUGAAGAAGGCAACCAUUGAACAAACAUCUACUGUAGUCAGUCUUACUGACAUUAAAUCACAGUGGCAGAAAAAGAGCACCAAGAUAGUAGAAAGAUAAUAGUGGUGGAAAGUCAUAUUUGAGAUUCAAUCUUGUUGAAAUUUCUUUUAUUUCUUUCAGAAGUUCAGUGAAGUAUGGAUGUGGGUGGCAUAAACAGCCAUUCAUCCAUGCCACUCUCAUAUCAUCCAAUUGUCCUUAAUUGACAGUCCCAAUUCAUCUGUUAUCUCACAUUUUGCAGCCACUCUAAAAAUGUCCCAAUUGCUUUCUCUUUCCACUUUCUCCCUUUGUCUUCGGUUUUCUUCAAAUGCAGCAAACUGAUUCAAAAUGCAGAAGCAGUUUGCAUUCAAAAUAACUCAGCAGACAGAAAGGAGAGAAGGGGCAGAAUCUUGACCUUCCCAAUAGGCUCAGGCAAAAGCAGAUGCCUAGCUUGUCUCUUCUUCCUUACUGAUAGCUUUUACCAUCUUGAUCUCACUCUAUUAUUGAUUGGCCACAGAUGUCAUGGUUUUCACUGGUGAAAUGUUGGUGGAUACUCUGGAGAUUGGCGGAUUCUGGGAGUUGUAGUCCACACAUUAUAGCCACUUAUUUAUUAUCUCAAAUUCUGGAUCUUUUUUCCAUGAAGAAGUAGCUUUUCCAGAAAUGCUUGAACCCACCCCCAUUCCAUUCUGCUUUGCUUAAUCCUUCUUCCAAAGGCCAAUAAUGGGGAGGGAGGAGGAGAAGAAGAAGGAGCCAGCUAUUUGGGUUUAUUAACCUCUCUGUGGCCAGGUGAAAGGUUAAAUUCACAUGAUUCAUGGGAGGCGAGAGACAGCACUUUGUUGCUAGGAGUGUGGGGAAUGCGGAGGGCUCCAGCGAAGGAGUCUGACUAAUCUUUCAGGGAGAGAGCCGGCUCCUGUCUGACGGCUGCAGCCCCAGCAGUUCUGUGUUUCAUUUCACAGACUGUCAUGCUCCUAUCUCUCCAGCUCACUCCCCAGCUCUAGCCUUCUGCCAGAUCCUGGGAACUGUUUGCUCAGACAAAUUUAUAGAUGAGGGCCAGAAUGGGGCUGGGAUUGGGGCUGGGGGUGGGCAAGCACAAGCGCUAUUUUUGAGCCUGAUCCAAAAAAAGGCCAGGCUGCAGGCAGCCUCCAGAUCUGUGAUGUCACAUUGAACACUUGGAAGCCUGCUAGAAAGCGAGCUGGAAAGAGGCCUGCUUCCUUUUUGUCCCAGCAGUUAUAGCCAGAGCUUGGGAAAUUCACUUGAUUGGAAAACAACUCUUAGAAUCUACUUGUCAGGAUGUGUCUUGCUGUUGUGUGAUUUUGAGACAUUUCCAACUUAUGGUGACCCUAAGGUGCUUACUUGGGAUGUUUAGCAUUACCGUGUUCUUGGGCUGAAACAGAGUGGCUUGUCCAAGGUCAGCCAGUGGAUUGCCAUGGCUGAGCAGGGAUUGAACCUUGGUCUCCUAGAGUCCUGAUUCAACACUUAACCACUGUACUAUGACAUGUUUACUGUAGAGCAGUAGUUCCCAACCACUUGACCAGGGACCACUAAGACCAAGGACCACUCUCCAACAUUAGUACCAAAAGGGUUAUGAAUCAGUUUUUGAUCAACGUUAGAUUCGGUUUGGUAAUUUGGGGUGCUGAUUUAGAAAAUUGCAUUGGAUAGACCACACCAGCUCUAGUUUCUGAUACAGAACAUAUUCCAUCCAGUAGUCGCCGUCUGCUCACCCACAAAAGACAAUAAUCUAAGGUUGAUUUCCCCACAUGUCUUGCAGACCUUAUUUUGGAUCUUGCGGCCCAUAUGUUGAGAACCAUUGCUGUAGAGAGACUGGGGCUUCUGCGGGUUAUAGUAAACAGUGACAUUUACAAGCUCUGAUUACAAAAUCCUCCUCCUCACAUCAAAUUGCCCAGACCCAUCACUGUCCUAGAUUCAUUUCUUGGGAAGGCCCUACUACAUUCAAUGUUAUGCUGUUUAUAUCAGCAGAUUUUUUUUUAAAACAAUAGGCUUGGUUUAAAGCCUUUUAAUUCUAGCUAUUGUUUAACUGGAUUUUAAUCAUUGUCACUGGUCUGCUGGAUUGACUUUGGUACAUCUACAUAACAAAGAAGUUUUCUUGAUUCACUCACCUUCUCAACCCAAUUUAAAAGCCAAAUGCCAGAUCAGGGGAAGAAAAAGGUCUGUACAGCUCAAAUCCAGGUUGUGAGUCAUACCCCUGACUGUCACAGCUUUCCUCAAUGGUGGGAGAUGCAGGAAGUAUCUCACUUCCUGAACCCCAGUUAGAAACUUCACUUGAUCUGGUGGCUGGCUUUUAAGGCGUUCAUAUAGGUUAACAUUGAGACUGUGUAGUCUUACUCAAUACUGAUUAGUUACAGAUCCAUUACUCUAGAUUAUAUAUUUUCAUUUCUUUUUUACCUAUUUUUUUAAAAAAAGUGUUAUGCAAACCCCCUUGGGUCCCAACAACAGCAAUAAGUACGUGUUAUAUGUGUGUGCAAUGCAGUGUGUGCAGUAUACCGCAGCUUUGUCCCCUAGUUUGUUUGCCUCAUGAUUGGGUUUUGUAUCUGCUCUCUGCUUAAAGGGUUCCCAUUCCUUCAUACACUUUCACCUCUCUCUUGAUAAAUUCAUAUCUCUUUUCAGUAUUCCGUCUCACCAUCUUCUAUGUCUGCUAAAAAAAACCCACUCCACUGAUAGCUUAAAAUUCUUUCUGUCCCACUACCCCUUCUGUGACCCCAUCUCUUAUUAGGUUGGCUUGGUUCUUCAUUCCCAUUUGUAUCUCACUCCUUCAGUUUAAACUCUCUGCAUGUUUGUUUCACCUUUAUUUUUUUUGCCUGCAGUUUAUCAGAAUCAUCUUCACAAGUGAGGUGUAUCUGUACAGUAUAAUCAUGAUUCUGGCAGUGUGAAUGAUGUAAUGGUCCCCAAUUUUAGGUACUCUAAAUACAUUGGAUUUCAACUUCCAUAAAGCCUGAUCAUUGACUAUAUAGAAUGAGGUUCCUGUUGUUGAACUAUGUCCAGGGUCAUAAAUUGAGAACCAGUAAUCUACACCACAAUUUUUCCCCAGUCAUGGAAUCAUUGAUCUCAUCCACAUCAGAGCAAGUGCAUUGAUUUAUUUUCCAUCUUUGCAUUAGAUUUCAGCUUGGAGUUUUCAGUGGCUUUCUCCACUUUGCUGCUCUCCAGAUGGGCAGGAGUUCAGCAAUCUUCUGGGCACAAUUUGGAAAGGGCAGACUUAUACUAUCUGCUACCAUAAAAUGUAAUGGUGGAUGAAAGUUUUUAUGGUUUCUAGAGCGUUCGGAAUAUACAUAACAGAUUCAGUAUGCCUUAUACAAAAUGCUUGGGACCAGAAGUGUUUCAGAUUUUGGAUAUUUUUGGAUUUUGAAAUGCCUAUAUUGUCAUACAUGUACACAAUGAGAUAUCUUGCAAAUGGGACUCAAAUCUAAACAUAACAUUUAAUAAUGUUUCAUAUACACCUAGCUUGAAGGUAACUGUAUACAAUAUUUUAAAUAAUUUUGUGUAUGAAACCAAGCUUGUGUACAUACAUUGAAUCACCAGAAAGCAAAGAUAUCACAAUCUCACCAACCACGUGUAUGAUUUUGGUGGAUAUUGGAUUCUGAAAUUCUAAUAAGGAAUGCUCAAUCUGCAUGUUGCUAGCUUUUAGUUUUGAUUACUACAGCAUAUACUUUGCCACGGAUCACUGCACAUACUGUGUCUGCUCUCUUGUCAAAAAACAAACAACUCACUUCCCUUAGAAGAAUGGUGAAAGAUAAAAGCUUUAGUCCAAUUCAGGAGAACUUAAAAGAAACACAUACCCUUCUUCCAUCUGUGCUGUGACACCACUUUUGGACUUCUUGAAAAAUUGGGUGGGAAAAUGGCAGCAAUAGCCAAUGAUGUCUGGCCUUGAGGCACUUUCCCCAUUCUACUUCAUGGCCCUUGAGUUAUCAGGUCAUAUCAAAAUCUGUAAUUUUGUCUCCCAAACCUGUCCCUGCUUUAUACAUGAGAUUGACCAGGUAUAUAUCAUAACUGGAAUCUUCAUGCUUAGAAUAAAUCUGUUGGAGGUUGGAGUAUAAUUUUAAAAAAGUCAAAAUUUGCAAUUAAAGCUAUUGUUAUAAACCCUAUUUAUUUUCCCAUAUUUUUUCUCAAAACAGAAUUAUUUUUUAAGAAACAGCAUCCAAAUGCUCCAUGCCAUGGGCUUGUGAUAUGAAACAUGGUGAAUGUGAAUCUCCUCCUCUUUUCCCCUCCCUAUGCUAUUCCCAAGCAGGCUGUUUUCUUUCCUCUCAACUUUCUUUUAUUUCUUAAUUUUUAACAUUAUAUAGCCAUAAUUGUGAAAUUGUUGUAAAAAGAAAAGGAAACCCUCAAAAGACAUUCUGGAUAAAUGAUAGGGCUGGAAGGUGGGGUUAUGGAGGCUGUGCAGAAGAUGAAUGUGGGACCAUAGAUUGCCAAAGUGGUGUCAUUCGACUAAUGCAGAGAAAUGUGAUAAUAAAUGGUGAAAAUCCGGUAUGUUUCCAUUCCUUACACUGACAUGAUUGCAGUCAUGCAAUAGACUAAUGUGACAAAGUCCUUAGAGAGACAUCAUUGAUGAAUUGCAUUAGUUUAUUCGUAUUUAUAAUGCAGUAUUGAAUUUUGCCAUAUCUGUAAGACACACUUACAAACAAACAAACAAACAAACAAAUCAUAAUAAGUUGAAUUAAACUUGAUGACAAUUAACAGCAGCAACAAUGAACACAAUCAGGUUAUUAACAUGUAGUGCCAGCUCUAGAGUCUGGGUUUGUGACUUUAAGUUCUUUAUGUAAUGUUACAGUUUAGAAAAUGAUUUUGAACCCAGUUCCCCAAGUAAUUUCCUACAUCCUUUGACCAAUCAUGCCCAAUUGAAGACCAAGGAAGCUGAGGUCAACUCCUAUGAGACCUCCAUUGAUCUGCAGCCAAUUCUUCUUCCGGAGUUGAAGCGGAGGUCACCCUUGAAUCGGCCUCCUUGGAGAGUUUGUUGACCAAGCCAAAUUUGCUGACCAAGACAGAUGCUGACAGGUCCACUAUUGCUUUUGACAGGGUAAAUGUUGCAAUGAUUUACAGCCCAGGUGCUGUUGUAAAAGGAAGAUAUUUAUUUACCGGAGAUUUGAAGGAAAGUUAAAAUUUAAUUAUGAAGAUGUUUUGCUACCGAGUCUCUUUGGAAAAUAUCUCUUUUAUCUAGGGGUGUGGAACAGGUUUUGAUUUUUAUACUUACCCAAUGUCACUCUUUUGAACCAAAAUGAAAAAAAAUUCAAAAUCAAAAUGCAAAAACAAAAUGGAACCCAGUUAUCCUUUGAACUUAUGGCUUCUUCAAAUCUUAAGGAGGAUGAAAGAUGCAUAUAUAUCUUUUAGGAAAAUGUGGAUGCAAAAAUGCACAUAUGAGCAAAGAAAACAUUCAAAAAUUGCAUCAGAAUUGAAAUUAAAAUGUAUAUGACAGAAAGAAUUGCAUACAAAAUGUAUUUUAGAUGUAAUGCACAGAAAUGCUUAUGGGUUUUAUAUAAAUUUCAAUAUAUAAAAUCUGAUAUAUAUAUAUACAGUAGAGUCUCACUUAUCCAACACUCGCUUAUCCAACGUUCUGGAUUAUCCAACACAUUUUUGUAGUCAAUGUUUUCAAUAUAUCGUGAUAUUUUGGUGCUAAUUUCGUAAAUACAGUAAUUACUACAUAGCAUUACUGCGUAUUGAACUACUUUUUCUGUCAAAUUUGUUGUAUAACAUGAUGUUUUGGUGCUUAAUUUGUAAAAUCAUAACCUAAUUUGAUGUUUAAUAGGCUUUUCCUUAAUCCCUCCUUAUUAUCCAACAUAAUCGCUUAUCCAAGCUUCUGCCGGGCCUGUUUUUGUUGGAUAAGUGAGACUCUACUGUAUAUAUCAAAGUUCAUGACAAAUGAAAGGAUUGGAAAAAGAACCAUUAAGAAAAAACAUUCACCCACCUCUAGUUUUGUCCUCAGGAUGCCUCUAGAAUGGAGUUUUGCAUUACUGUUGUUGUCUUUUAAUUAAAGCAACAAGAACCAACAGAUAAGUAUGCAGCAGACCUGGUAACUGUUAGAUGGUGACAGAUUAUAAUUGGAAUGAGAGACGUGGCUAUCUCAGGGUGGUGAGUUUGAAAGAACCAUAAGGCAGGCAGAAAAAUAAGUUUAGAAUCUUCAACAGGAAGAACAUUUAUUAACAAACAACAUUCUUGGGUAGAAAUGGCUUGAUCUUUUCUGUUAUUGUUGAGUUCCUUAAAGUCAUUUCUGACUUGUAACUCUAAGGUGAAUCUAUCAUAGGGUUUUCUUGGCAAGAUUAUUCAAAGGGGGUUUGCCAUUGCCUUCCUCUGAGGUUGAGAGAAUGUAAUUUGUUGUGGUGGACUUCCAUGGCUGAGUGUAGAUUCAAACUGGUCUCCAGAGUCAUUCUGAAGGAGAAAAGGAUGGGAGGGAUAUGUGUUGCAGAGUGUUCAGUCUGGACUAAUUCUCUACAAUGGAGAACAGUCAUUCUUGACUGAACCAGACAAUGUUAUCUGCUCAAAAUGCUGUUGGGAUAAGUGGCUGACAAUGAAAAGUUAAGUAGGAAAGGAAGACACCCCCCCCCAAUGUCUCUAUCACUGCUUCUUAAGCUGUGGGUCCUGACCCCAAAUGGGGUCCCUUUAGCUAAAUGCUGAAGUCCUGAAAAUGGCAAAAGUGAAAGUUUUCUUAUUGGCUGUAUUAGACAUUUGCAUGAAUCUGUUGUGCAGUGUUUACAGUGGACUCUGUAGAAAAUGCUUCAACUGUACUUCAUAAAAAGGAAAAUCAGCCUGUUUAGCAAGCCUCACAAAUGCUGAUUUGCUAUCAGUAAUUGUUUGAUUUUUAUACCUAUUUUAUAUGCCUAUAUACCUGGGGUCAUGUAAAAUUACCUCGUGCCAAAAGGGGUUGCAAAUGAAAAUGUUUAAGAAGCCCUAGUCUAGACCACCUCAUCUGAAAUGGACAAGAGAGCAACAAGAGUAAGUGGUGCUGAAGUUGUUUCUUCUAACAAGUAACAAUGUGUCAAAUAUAACCUAUUACAUAUCAUGUAUGUAAUUGGUGGUGGUGGUGAUGAUGAUGAUAACCAUCAUCAUUAAAAAGGAAAUAUUGAUAAUUGUGGUAAUCAUUGAAAUCAGGUUGAGAAUCCAAAUGAUGGAAAAGAUGCUGAGACUUACAAAUGGAAGAUCUGCAUCUCAGGGAAAAUAUUCCAGUGGUGUUGAAUGCUUUGGGUCAAUUCCAAAAUGGACUGGCAAGAAAAUGGUGUGUGUGACAUUGCUAUAGAUGAAGACCAUAAUUACAAAAAAUCACAUUACUUGAAACAAAUUGCAUUAAAUAACAAUGUCUCACAGAUUACUAGAUUCUUCCAAGAUGGAAUCCAAAUAACAUACGGUUUUGAACACCAGUUGGAAACAUUAGGCAGACUUUGAGAUAUUUUUUAAAUCAUGUCAGAAGUGACUUGAUAACAUACUGCAAGUCGCUUCUGAUGUGAGAGAAUUGGUCGUCUACAGAGACGUUGCCCAGGGGGUGCCGGGAUAUGUUAGCUGGGAGGGUUCUCUCGUGUUCUUCAGGUCGGCAACCUUCAGGUCAGCAACCCAACCUUCAUGUCAGCAGUUCAGCCAGCACAAGGGUUUAACCCAUUGCACCACCAUGGCUCCUGACUUUGAGAUUGAGACUAAUAUUGUAGAAGCUAAACAGAAAUUGCCAUAUGCAUAAAACUGGGAUACAUCCUACCAGGAUGUGUUAGACUACAAGUUCCAUCCCUCCCUGUCAAUAUGAAUAUCGCUGGGUGAUUGUAGUCCAGCACAUUUGUAGGGCACCAUGCUGAUACAGGAUCUCAAAUGACAUUGCUGUUUGUGUUGUUAGGAAAGAACUUUAGGAUUCUGGAAUGGGGAAAUUAUUCUCUUGAACCAAUAGUACCUGCACCAGAGUUGACUCUAGCUUUGUAAAUAAAUAUCAAGAAAAAAUAAGACAAAAAACCACAAUAUAUAUAGGUAGCGGUCUCCAUUCAUCAUAAGCCGAUCCAAUUUCAGCACCAGCUGCAAUUUUUCUUAACCUUCGACAGUUGCCUAAAUGUGCUUGCUCCAGGUAAUCCUGUCGAACUCAUUUCACUCAUUGUGUGUUAAAAAUAUCUUUACUAAUGCACUCUGGACUCCAAAUGUGAUUAAGAUUCAUUGUGGAUUUUUUCUGAACUUUGUUCAGCUACAUGAGUUUGGGUCAUGACUGAAAUGUUCAAAAACUUCUCUUCCUGCAUGGAAGAAUGAAUGUAUUGUUGUCCCUGCACAGGAAUCACAAGUUUUUGAGGGGGAAAAACAGAUCUAAAGAUAAAUUGAAACACAAAACUGAAUAUAAAUUUUAAAAACCCUUUUACAUGUGUUUAUUGCGGUCAACCAAUUUGGGAGUAAAACAAUCAUUGUGUUUUGAGUGGAUCUAUUCUACACUGUAGAUUGAACCAGUUUGAAAACAUUUUAACUGCCAUGGCAUAAUACUAUGGAAUUAUGUUUUCCAUAAUGGGUAGUGUAAUUUUACAAGGUCUUUAGCUGUCUUUGCCAAAGAAUGCUGGUGCAUCAUCAAACUGCAGCUCUCAAGAUUCUAUACCAUUGAGCCAUGACAGUCAAAUGGCAUUAAUUCUGCAGAGGAAGUAAAGUUAGGUAUAAAAGUAUGGACCUCAUCCCAUGAGGGGGGAAAGCAGGGGAAAUUGUCUUCUUUACCAUAGCAUUUCGUUCCAGUCCGUUUAUAAGGAAAAUAGAUAAUCUAUUCACGACUUUCACACAUGAUGUACUUGUGUCUGUUUCUAUAGCAAUCCUCCAUAUUUUGAGCUAUCACACAGGUGAGUGUAGUCUGUUAAUGUGGGAUUGGUGUGUUGAUAGUGUUUAAAUGAAAUUUGUGUUUUGUCUGUAUUGCAUACUGAUUGCAUCAUCCAGAGUGUACUAUAGUCUGGAAAGAGUUAAUUGCUAAGAAGCUGUGUUGACCUUGAUGUGUGGCUGGAACUGGGGAGUGUGCAUUACUGAUUGCAUCAGAUCUGUUCUGUUCUGAGUUGAGUUGAGUGCUGUCUGCCUAGGUGUUAAGUCCUGUGUCCACUGUCUGCAAGCCUGUUUGUCUUUAUUACUGCUUUCAGUAAAACUUUGUAUAUAGAUUUACCAAUGUCUCUGAGUGUCUCUUCAUUCUGCGUUCCACUGACUCCAUCCAACUGCUGCUGCGCUGCGUAAAUUACUCUGACAUAGUCCUCACCCAUAUUGCAUUCUUGCGAACUGUGCAAGUCCGAAAUCUAUCUCUAAAAAGGGGGGAAAUAUAGCUAUAGCAAACUGGUAAUAUAUUGAAAUUGCACAAUUCCUGAAGACUAAAUUAUUUUUAAAAAUACCAUAAAAGUAAUUAAUGGUGACAAAACGAGCAUUGAGGCACAUUUCGAGACCGGCCACAGAAAAGUUUACUCAUUGCUCUAUCAUGGGGGAAUCUGACAGUUCCCAUCCUAUGUUAAAAUAAAUGCCUUUAGCCAUUUCUGUGUGAAUCAGGAGCUCUGAAGAUGUUUGCUCUCUGACUCCAAAACCUCAGUUUCUACACACUUUUAAAACAGUUUAAAGAUAGAGUCCAUGGGAAACCGCUGGAAGUAGUCUUGUAUCCUAUAAUGGGCUCCAUAGAAUUCAAUCUUUAAACUGUUUUUAAAGUGUGUAGAAACACUUUAAAAACUGACCCUGAUGAGAUCCUAUCACUUCACAGGCAAAGAGAACAAGACUCAACACAUCAGGGAAACCUGUGAACUUCUACUGCCCCCUCUAGGCACAGUGCUGCAUGUGCAGUUGCACAAUUCUCUUUCAGUGCGUACCAAUUGUCUCUCCAUGAGGAGCAUAUAUUAUAGUAUGGGGGCCACAACUGAGAAGACCAUCCUCUUCAUUGGCACAUAAUGUACCAGAAGUAAAGUGGAGCCUUGGUAUCUGCUGAAGUUUGUUCCCAGGACCCCAUGUGGAUACCAAAGAUCUGUGGAUGCUCAAAUGUCAUUAUUGCUAGAAAUUUAAGUCAGAAAAACCAACCUCAAAAAACUGACUCAACUUAUCUGGAGGUCAGUAUGAGUAAAGUACCUUAAUUCAUAUCAAAAAAGGAACCAUCCCAUUCUCUGACUAGAGUGGUGAAAGGCGAGAGCUUCAUCCAUCCUAAGAGAAUCUAAAAGAAAUCCUAACCCCCUCUACUAUCUCCUCUAUGGUACAAUUUCUGGCCUUUCUGAAUGCCUGGGUGGGGAAACCUGGUAGUGACCCCCAAGGCAAAUUUGGUGCUCUCCCCUCUUUGCAUAAUGACCCUCGACUUAUACAUAGGUGAUAUCAAAAUCUGAAAUUUUUUGUUCCCCAAACCUGUCCUCGACUUAUACAUGAUGUCAACAUAUACAUGUUUAUGGUAUGAACAAUGACGUAGUAAACAGUGUCCUUAUACAAAAUACAAAGGCACUUUGAGUCUCUUUUGAGAGAGGGAAGCAUGACAAUACUAAUACUACUACUAACAAGGCUAAAUCAAACUUUCACUUUUUACUAUUUUUAAGACAUACAGGAUUGAAUCUGUGGAUGCAAGGAGGACUGACUAUAUCUCCUUAGGAAAAGGUUGGUGAGUGGAACCCUUCCAGAUGCUGGAUAGCAAACCCUGGCCAAUUAUGAGGGACUAUAAAUUCAACACUAUCUCACAGAUUCCAUGUUCCUGAUCCCUAGCAGCUGGAGCCAGAGCUUGGCAAAAUUACCUUUUGGUCUACAACUCCCAGAACUCCUGGUUGUUGUAGACCUAAAGUAUCUUGUACCACUCUGUUUAGGAAUCAGCUUUUGAGUUUUAAGUCGCUCAGUUUUAUACCAAAUCUCUCAAGAGUCGUCAGUUAGGAAGAUGGGACUGAACAUGACCUACUCCUAUUCCACAAGCAGGCUGUGAAGGCAAACAAGAUAAAGCUCUUGAAGCCAUCUCCCUGUUAAAACAGAUAAAGCAAUGAGGAAUAGCACCAAACAAAAUUGUCUUGGCAAAACUGUAAAUCUCACCCUUCUCCAUUGAUCCCUUCUUGCUCGUUUUUAAUAUUUGCUUUAGAUAAUUGCUGAAAACAUUUGUAAAGGAGUUGCAAUUCCUGAGCACACUGAAUGUUCAACAGGCUAGCUGAUGAUUCCAGCUCCGAUCUAUUAGCUGUAAAUUAUUUUAACGUGAGUGACAUCACACUUGACUCUUGGCAAAACAGUGUUAAGUUAGUGGGUAAUAAAACAGCUUGACACUAAUGAUGGGCCCUGCCUGAUAAAUUACCAUCAGAGAUCAGAUAAGGGCUCUUGAGAGUAACCUUGAACCAAAUCUCUCUCUUUCCUCCUUGCUAUGUCUUGUGUGCAGUGUUCUUUUUUUCCUUCACUCUCUCAACUGGGAAAAUUAAGUGCUCAGUCCAGAAAAAUGCUGCCUAUAAGAGGAAAGUCUUGUGUAGUUUUCCAGUUGAUAGAGUAAUAUGAAUGUAAUUCCUAUCUUUUAAUUUGCUCAUCAUUGUCAACUUAAAAGGAAGAGGAGAUACUGUAAAGAUAUGGGAACCAGUGUAGUGUUAGAAUUUUAGUCUGGAGACUAGGAUUUGAGUGCCAUGAAAUGUACCAGCUGACUAUGGUCUGAUGUGUUUAAGUCAAUGGGUGACCUUGGGUUGGUCACUCUCAAAGUUGUUGCAAGGACAAAAAUGAGGAGGAGGAGAACUAUAAAUGUCUUGCCUCAUGAGAUAUAAAUGUAUGAUACUUUAAAAAAAAAUGUACCUCCAAUAGACAUAGAAAUAAUGCAGAUGUUGCACUGGGAGACCUAGACAUUCUAGAGAGAAUAUUUAAAUCAAAUCCAUGAAUAAUCAAAUGCACAAAAGUCAAAUUCAUAAAUGUGGAGGCUGACUGCAUAUUCGUUCAAAGGCACAGAUCCAUUUUUUAAUAAAAAAGCUGGCCCACACCAUUUCUAAUACAAACAAACCCGUCCAUUGAAUGAAAACAAGGUCCAUUCAUAAUUCUAUAUCAAAAUGACCCAAAUUACACCCCCUGCUAAAUUAUGUAGCUUUGGGGUACAUUAUUUAACCCCGAAGCCUUUCAGGUGAUGUUGGGAAAUGUGUGUCACUCAACAAUUUCACAAAGUUGUAGUGAUGUUAACGCUGAGUGUAGGGGAGGGUUGUGCGGACUUCCUUUUACUUUAGUUCUUUGAAGGCUGGCUAUAACUGUAAAUAACACCGUUGGCUAUCUAUUAAACAUUUCUGCUAGUCACAAGGGAAAUCUAGAAGGUAUGCAAGGCAUUUGUGCCUGGCUCCUUGAACACAAGUGACCAAGGGACACCUUUCUCAACCUUUAAAAGUAUACUGUCCACAAAAAGGACUAGAAGUGUUGAUUGUAUAGCUAAAAUUGAAGUGGGGAACUGUAGAUUUUCCCCUGUUUGGGGAUGGUGACUUUUAUGGUGUCUGUGCUAAAUGCAUAAUUUUGUUCAUAGGACACAUUCACACAAUUGCUUUCCCAGACUGUUGGUCUAACAGAUGAACAUGACAUUGCCCAUAGAUGCCAAGUCCCUCUCAAUGCUAACCCAGGUGAAGUCUGUUAAAUGUGCACUAAUCCAAUGAUGUCCUCAGUCAGUUGGAAUAGAUCAACAAGGACUGGUAUCCUUGCAGGAAUGACAUUAACUACAGGUGCAUCUAAACUGUAGAAUUAAUGCCGUUUGACAUCACUUUAACUGUCAUGGCUCAAAGCUGAGGAACAAUGAGUGUUGCACUUUUUAUAUGAUCUUUGCCUUCUCUUCCAAAAGAAUUGGUGCUGCACCAAACUACAAAUCCCUGAGUCUGCAAGACUUGAGAAGAGCUACUGAUGACAGGGCUACCUGGAAGUUCCUCAUUCGUAUACUAUAUGGGUUCCAUCUACAUCUUGGAAAAGUGACACACCUUGAUGACAAGUCCCAGCACACCUCUUCUAGAAUGAACAUUGACUGGUGAAAUCUGGAAGACGUAGCUCAAAAGAUAACCCUUCCAAGCUAUAGGAAUAUUAAGAUGCUGUGAUUAAUAACCACUGCUAGACCCGACCUCUAGAAAUGUAUUUAAUACAUUUAAAGAACUUUAAAACUGGGAAUCAUACUGGUAAAUGUGGAUUCUUUCAACUGUGGCCAUGCAUUUUGUAAUUUUAAAAGUCUGUCCUAAAUGUAUCACCAACCAAACUUCAUCAGACAAAGAAGCACUAAUAUUUGGUGAGAGGAAAAUAAAAAAGGAUUGCCUCUCCAAACAGAAUCCACUCAAUAAAUACUCAUCUUUUGUGAGAAUAAAGGCAACCAUAUUUCUUGA